AACGCACGAGACCUGCGGACCUGCGGAGGGAUCAUUACAGGACUCGCAAGACUCCUACAACCCUGUGAACUUAACUAUAAGCACGUUGCUUCGGCGGGUGUCUCGGCGAGGGUCCUCCCUCCCCGGGGCGCUAAGCCCGCCGGCAGCCUACUAUACUCUGUCUCUUUGCGUUGGCAUCUCGAGUACAAACAAACAAGUUAAAACUUUUAACAAUGGAUCUCUAGAUCGGAAGAGCACACG
rnacentral:misc_RNA from 1 species